rnacentral:lncRNA from 1 species
UGUAAGAUUGGGUAAAUCCAGGAGACUAUGGCCAAUCUUGCGCAAGUCAGUUAGUUGGUUCGUGGAAGUCGCGAUUUCACAAGCCAUGUCCCUCCAAAAGUGUCACGUGAUGGUUGCACUAUUGCAGGGCACAGUAUUAACUCCCAUGGGUUGGACGGCGUAGUGAGCUGCAAGGCUCACUAGUGUCUCCCCAUAAGGUUACGGUAUGCAAGCUAGGGCCGAACCGCAAGGUUUGCCAUUUAAGAUAUGUAAGUGUAAUUAUGUCAUAGUAAGAACUUGA